CUGCUGCCUCCCGUAGGAGUCUGGUCCGUGUCUCAGUACCAGUGUGGGGGGCCUUCCUCUCAGAACCCCUACGCAUCGUCGCCUCGGUGGGCCGUUACCCCGCCGACUAGCUAAUGCGCCGCAUGCCCAUCCGUGGCCGGGAUUGCUCCCUUUGGCGGCCUUGGGAUGCCCCAAGGCCGCGUUACGCGGUAUUAGACGAGGUUUCCCCCGCUUAUCCCCCUGCCACGGGCAGGUUGCAUACGUGUUACUCACCCGUGCGCCGGUCGCCGGCAACGG
rnacentral:rRNA from 1 species